UACGUAGGGUGCAAGCGUUAUCCGGAAUUAUUGGGCGUAAAGAGCUCGUAGGCGGUUUGUCGCGUCUGCUGUGAAAACCCGAGGCUCAACCUCGGGCCUGCAGUGGGUACGGGCAGACUAGAGUGCGGUAGGGGAGAUUGGAAUUCCUGGUGUAGCGGUGGAAUGCGCAGAUAUCAGGAGGAACACCGAUGGCGAAGGCAGGUCUCUGGGCCACUACUGACGCUGAGAAGCGAAAGCAUGGGGAGCGAACAGG
rnacentral:rRNA from 1 species